UAAGCGGAGGAAAAGAAACUAACAAGGAUUCCCCUAGUAACGGCGAGUGAAGCGGGAAGAGCUCAAAUUUGUAAUCUGGCACUUUCAGUGUCCGAGUUGUAAUCUCGAGAAGUGUUUUCCGCGCCGGACCGCAUACAAGUCUGUUGGAAUACAGCGUCAUAGUGGUGAGAACCCCGUAACUGAUGCGGAUGCCCGGUGCUUUGUGAUACACUUUCGAAGAGUCGAGUUGUUUGGGAAUGCAGCUCAAAUUGGGUGGUAAAUUCCAUCUAAAGCUAAAUAUUGGCGAGAGACCGAUAGCGAACAAGUACCGUGAGGGAAAGAUGAAAAGCACUUUGGAAAGAGAGUUAACAGUACGUGAAAUUGUUGGAAGGGAAACGAUUGAAGUCAGACUUGUUAUCUGGAGUUCAGCCUUUCGGUGUACUCUCCAGUUUACAGGCCAGCAUCAGUUUUCGGGGCGGGAAAAUCGUAAUUAGAAGGUAGCAGCCUAGCUGUGUUAUAGCUCUUUACUGGAUUCCGCUUUGGGGACUGAGGAACGCAGUGUGCUUUUAGCAAUACCCUCGGGUAUUUCACACUUAGGAUGCUGGUGGAAUGGCUUUAAACGACCCGUCUUG
rnacentral:rRNA from 1 species